CCCAGAAGCACUGGGGAUGGCGGACACAUGUGUGCUGCAGGCACAGAGACACCCAAAGCAUCUCAGCAAAGCUUCUCAGAGCUGCAAGCAGCAGCAAAGGCCUCGCGCUCAGCAAAACGUUCCUCGGCACAGAUGGGGACACGAAGGGACGCGCAAUGAAAUCCUUCCCGGGGGAUUCAAAAAUAAUAUCGUGUACAUUCCAGCUUCCCGAACAACAAUCGCCUGCAAGGCAGGCACUGUGGGAAAGUCUCAGCUUGCUUUUCCUGGGUAUUAUAAAUAGAAUUACGGCUGUGAGCAAGGCUUUCAGCACGGAGGAAGGGGGAAAGGCCAUUUGCUGGGCUGUGUUUGAACUCGGGCUCUGGCUGGAGGCCAGCUUUCUGCACAACAGCUGGUCACUUCCUGCCAAAGCAACGCAAGCGCUGGGAACCAGGGAGCCCCGAAGCAGCACUGCCUGCAGGCUGGAGCCCGUGGACAGGGACAGGCAGCGUGAGAGAGGGCGAGUAGGUGUGAGGCUUCCCCAGAUGCGCUGCAGCUCAGCUCCCAGAGGCCUGAGGAACUUCUCUUGCAGCAGGCUGAACCCACCACAGCUCACAGCUUGCUUGCACUGCCCAGCUCCCCAGGCUCCGUGCCCUACUGCCCAUCACACGAGCGUGCAGAGCCCUGCAAGAGGCAGCUGUGUGUGCUGAUGGCCACAUUCCCAUUUCUCUUGUCCUCCUGGCUCCUACUCGUCUGGGUUAUGGGUCCGUAUGUCCUUCUGGUUUCUAUACAUCCAGGUUAUGGGUCUGUAGGUCUUUUUGGCUCCUCCUUAUCUGCAUUAGGAGUCUGUAGGACCUUCUGGGUCCUACUCAUGUGAACGAUGGCUCUGUAGUCCUUCUGGUUUCUAUACACCUGGGCUAUGGGUCCGUAUGUCCUCCUGGCUCCUACUCAUCUGGGCUAUGGGUCAGUAGGUCCCCAGAUCACCUCUGAAAUACCACUACCACGUACCAGGCAGGCUAUCACGCAUCACAGCCACGGGUGGGCCCUGCGGAGGUACCCCCGGGCCCAGGAGCAGACAGACUCACAGACCCUCAGACCCACGGAUGCUGGAACCGCCGCCGGGUCCCCGCGGCCCAACCCCCGCGAGGCGCAGGGCUGAGGGGAGAAGCGCAGCACGCAUGCGCGGCAGG
ensembl:lncRNA